rnacentral:rRNA from 1 species
UACGUAGGGGCGAGCGUUGUCCGGAUUUACUGGGCGUAAAGGGUGAGUAGGCGGUUAUAUAUGUCAGGUGUAAAAAGCUAUGGCUUAACCAUAGUAAGCACUUGAAACUGUAUGACUUGAGUGCAGGAGAGGUAAGCGGAAUUCCUAGUGUAGCGGUGAAAUGCGUAGAUAUUAGGAGGAACACCGGUGGCGAAGGCGGCUUACUGGACUGUAACUGACGCUGAGUCACGAAAGCGUGGGUAGCAAACAGGAUUAGAUACCCUGGUAGUCCCU